rnacentral:rRNA from 1 species
CAGUAGCCGCGGGAAUACGAAGGGGGCUAGCGUUGUUCGGAUUUACUGGGCGUAAAGGGCGCGCAGGCGGACUGAUAAGUCAGGGGUGAAAUCCCUAGGCUCAACCUUGGAAUUGCCUUUGAUACUGUUUGUCUUGAGUUCGAGAGAGGUAAGUGGAACUGCGAGUGUAGAGGUGAAAUUCGUAGAUAUUCGCAAGAACACCAGUGGCGAAGGCGGCUUACUGGCUCGAUACUGACGCUGAGGCGCGAAAGCGUGGGGAGCAAACAGGAUUAGAUACCCGAGUAGUCCCUGUCUCUUAUAC